rnacentral:rRNA from 1 species
UACGGAGGAUGCGAGCGUUAUCCGGAUUUAUUGGGUUUAAAGGGUGCGUAGGCGGAGUGCCAAGUCAGCGGUAAAAAUUCGGGGCUCAACCCCGUCGUGCCGUUGAAACUGGCGCCCUUGAGUGGGCGAGAAGUAUGCGGAAUGCGUGGUGUAGCGGUGAAAUGCAUAGAUAUCACGCAGAACCCUGAUUGCGAAGGCAGCAUACCGGCGCCCGACUGACGCUGAAGCACGAAAGCGUGGGUAUCGAACAGG